rnacentral:rRNA from 2 species
GCCCAGCCGUAAACUUUUACUUACACCUAAAUCGCCUGGGAACUACGAGCAAAGCUUAAAACCCAAGGGACUUGACGGUACCCCAUAUCCACCUAGAGGAGCCUGUCCUAUAAUCGAUAAUCCACGUUCAACCUCACCAUUUCUAGCCUAUCAGCCUGUAUACCUCCGUCCUCAGCUUACCCCGUGAGUGAAAUCUAGUAAGCUUAACGCCCCUACGCCAACACGUCAGGUCAAGGUGCAGCAAAUGAAAUGGGAAGAGAUGGGCUACACUCUCUAACCUAGAAAACACGAAAGACUACCUAUGAAACCUAGUCGGAAGGCGGAUUUAGAAGUAAAAAGAAAAUAGCAUAUUCUUUUUAACCUGGCACUGGGGUGUGUACACACCGCCCGUCACCCUCUUCAUAAGAACUAAAAAAGUACUUAACAACAUUCAUCUACCCAGAAGAGGCAAGUCGUAACAUGGUAAGUAUACCGGAAGGUGUGCUUGGAAA